rnacentral:ribozyme from 13 species
UUUUUUUUUUUUUUUUUUUUUUUUUUUUUUUUUUUCCAAUC